rnacentral:rRNA from 1 species
GACGUAGGAGGCGAGCGUUGUCCGGAUUCAUUGGGCGUAAAGAGCACGCAGGCGGUUUGGCAAGUCGGAUGUGAAAACCCGAAGCUCAACUUCGGGCCUGCAUCCGAAACUGCCCGACUAGAGGUAGGUAGGGGAGAUCGGAAUUCCUGUGUAGCGGUGAAAUGCGUAGAUAUAGGAAGGAAUACCAGUGGCGAAGGCGGUGCUCUGGGCCGGAACUGACGCUGAGGAGCGAAAGCGUGGGGAGCAAACAGG